CCUACGGGAGGCAGCAGUGGGGAAUAUUGGACAAUGGGCGAAAGCCUGAUCCAGCCAUGCCGCGUGUGUGAAGAAGGUCUUCGGAUUGUAAAGCACUUUAAGUUGGGAGGAAGGGUUGUAGAUUAAUACUCUGCAAUUUUGACGUUACCGACAGAAUAAGCACCGGCUAACUCUGUGCCAGCAGCCGCGGUAAUACAGAGGGUGCAAGCGUUAAUCGGAAUUACUGGGCGUAAAGCGCGCGUAGGUGGUUUGUUAAGUUGGAUGUGAAAUCCCCGGGCUCAACCUGGGAACUGCAUUCAAAACUGACUGACUAGAGUAUGGUAGAGGGUGGUGGAAUUUCCUGUGUAGCGGUGAAAUGCGUAGAUAUAGGAAGGAACACCAGUGGCGAAGGCGACCACCCGGACUAAUACUGACACUGAGGUGCGAAAGCGUGGGGAGCAAACAGGAUUAGAUACCCUGGUAGUCCACGCCGUAAACGAUGUCAACUAGCCGUUGGAAGCCUUGAGCUUUUAGUGGCGCAGCUAACGCAUUAAGUUGACCGCCUGGGGAGUACGGCCGCAAGGUUAAAACNCAAAUGAAAUUGACGG
rnacentral:rRNA from 1 species